rnacentral:tRNA from 1 species
GUGGACGUAGCCAAGUGGAUUAAGGCAGUGGAUUUGU